rnacentral:rRNA from 1 species
CCUACGUGUGGCAGCAGUGAGGAAUAUUGGUCAAUGGCCGUAAGGCUGAACCAGCCAAGUAGCGUGAGGGAAGACUGCCCUAUGGGUUGUAAACCUCUUUUGUGCGGGGAUAAAGGUGUCCACGAGUGGAGGUUUGCAGGUCCCGCAUGAAUAAGGACGGGCUAAUUCCGUGCCAGCAGCCGCGGUAAUACGGAGGGUCCGGGCGUUAUCCGGAGUUAUUGGGUGUAAAGGGAGCGUAGGCCGGUCUUUAAGCGUGCCGUGAAAUGUUGGGGCUCAACCAUGGGAGUGCUGCGCGAACUGGGGACCUGGAGUGCGCGGAAGGCAGGCGGAAUUCGUGGUGUAGCGGUGAAAUGCGUAGAUAUCACGAAGAACACCGAUGGCGAAGGCAGCCUGCUGGAGCGUUACUGACGUUGAAGCUCGAAAGCGUGGGGAUCGAACAGGAUUAGAUACCCCUGUAGUC